GUGUCAGCCGCCGCGGUAAGACGGAGGAUGCAAGCGUUAUCCGGAAUGAUUGGGCGUAAAGCGUCCGCAGGUGGCAAUUCAAGUCUGCUGUUAAAGCGCAGGGCUUAACUCUGUAAAGGCAGUGGAAACUGAAUAGCUAGAGUGUGGUAGGGGCAGAGGGAAUUCCCAGUGUAGCGGUGAAAUGCGUAGAGAUUGGGAAGAACAUCGGUGGCGAAGGCGCUCUGCUGGACCAUAACUGACACUCACAGGACGAAAGCUAGGGGAGCGAAUGGGAUUAGAUACCCCAGUAGUCCUAGCCGUAAACGAUGGAUACUAGGUGUUGUCUGUAUCGACCCGGACAGUGCCGUAGCUAACGCGUUAAGUAUCCCGCCUGGGGAGUACGCACGCAAGUGUGAAACUUAAAGGAAUUGGCGGGG
rnacentral:rRNA from 1 species